UGCCCCCGAUUUACGAAUUUUCAGAUGAAGCUGAAAUUGAUCUCGACGAAGACAAGGAGCAAUUUGGCUCUGUGAGGUCGAAUUCUAGGGCUAUAUCGAAUGGCGUCGUCGGAGCGAUUGUGCGAACUGCGAGGAAUUUGCCGGAAAAUGUGACUCUGGGGGAUUCUUUGGGAGAUUUUGACGGAAGAAUUUGUGAGGAAGUAUUUCUAUGAAUGGAGGAGUUUGCAGGAGAUUCUGCGAUGUGUUGGCUUAUGGUCUGUAAGAGGUUUGUCGUAGCUUUUUCUUUAUGGAGGAACUUGAAUAUGAGGAAACUUGAUUGAACUUAGAACUGAUGAAGUGCUGAAUGUCUGAUAAUUUGUUUGCCAUGGAUAUCAACUUGAUGCUUGACAUUUGAUAUAUCACUACAUUUUUGUUAUUCUUCCUGGCUGCGAAUAUGAGAUCUGAAUCAUUCUUACAAGGUGUGGAAACCUCUUCCUAUUAGAUGCGUUUUAAAACCGUCAGGUUGACGACUAUACUUAACCGGUCAAAACAGACAAUAUGUACUACCGGUGGGUUUGGGUUCUUCUAAAUGGUAUUAGAGUUAGACACCUGACUGUGAGAUCCCACAUUGGUUAAAGAGGGGAUUGAAGCAUUCUUAGAAGGGUGUGAAAAUCUCUCUCUAGCAGACGCGGUUUAAAACUGUGAGAUUGACGGCGAUAGGUAACGGACUAAACCAGACAAUAUCUGCUAGCAAUGGGUUUGAACGGUUACCAAUGGUAUCAGAGCCAGACACCGGAUCUUGAAAUUUGAAAAGGAGAGAAAUGUCUAUUGUGUGUGGCUCUUUCAUUGAAGAAAAGAUGUUUGAUUUGAAACAUAUUAUCGGAGCUUGGAGUUCCUCUUAACUGGUCGGGUUGUCAUCCCCUUUGAGAAGAUCUGCUCAGACGUAGAGUCCCCGCUCCUGAUCAUAAAGAAAAUUUAGACAAGAAUUUAAUAGAAGAAAGAGCUAUUGCUUCGAAAUAUUCGAAAAAAGAUAGAGGUCGGGGAGGGCACGGUACCGGAUGUGAAGUUAUCCCAGAAACUUGGCAAUUUUGAAUGUAAAACUUGCUACAGAGAACAGGAAAGACACGACUUGAAGCUUUUGAUGGAGACAGAUAUCCCAUUUGGGCUUUUGAUGCAUGAAUGGCCCAUCUCUGAUCCAUAAUAUGGGCCGAGUAGGCCCAAAGUAUGGGAGAUGGGCCCAGCCUUUAUCCCGUUGAAGCUUUUGAUGGAGACAGAUAUCCCAUUUGGGCUUUUGAUG